GUUCAAGGAUAAAGAAAGGCAAGAUUUUCAAGUUGUUAGCCAUGCAAAAGGGCAAGCUAGCUGAUUGGUUGUGUGCAGUGGCGAAUCUUGACAGAAAAUAAAGGGAGGGCUCAAUGUUAACAAUGUGAAGAAAAAAACAUUAACUAUUAGUUUUUUAGUUUAGAUAAUGUUUUUUUAUGAUUAAUACUAGCAAUUUUUGUUUUCUAAUUUUUGGAGGGGCAGCUUAAGCCUGUUGAAGCACCCCCCCCCCCUUGGAUUCGCCACUGGUUGUGUGCAUUACUCUGGUUUUCAGGUUUCUUCUUACAUGGAUUCUUUGUUGUAUUUCAAUAAGGAUCCAGAUCAAUGAUUUUGCAAUGAACACAUGUGUGGUGGAAGGGGCCUUGAGAUUUCCAUGUUGGGGAAGAAGUGGUCUUUUGCUGCAGGGAAGGGAAGGGCACCAGGGCCUAGAUUUGAGAAUGCUGGAGUGUGUAGACAUUCCCAUACCAUCAUAUUGGGGGUCUGUAGUCCGGUCUUAUAUUUCUUACCCUGAGCAUUAUGUACUAUCUCACAUGUUCACUUAAAUUGUACCAUCUUAUUUGUUGUCUGAUUUUUGUUUGUUUAUAAUAAUACAGGGAGAGAUAAGGAAGUACUAAUUUGUUAUGGCUUUAUUUAUGCCGCUCUGGUGGUACACUCGCUUUGCCUAUCCACUGAGAAAGGAGGAUGGUGGAUUCAAAAUUUCAUAGUUUCUUGCGUAUCUGAGUUCUCAAUUUUAUGUAAAUGUUGUAUAGUAUUUGUGUUGAUGCGUUUGUUCUUGUAGAUGCAUUCUCACACAUAUGAUCCUUUAUAUUCACAUUUAUUCACACUUAUUUUGAUGUGUUAUUAUUUUCUCUCAUUACUUUUGUGUUGCUUCCUAGACUUUCUUGAAGAACAAAUAUUAAAUUCUGAGACCUUGCCAUCUUUAUAAUGAAUAAUCUAUAAGAGAGUGUUCAUACCAUGUGUCUCUUCACACUUACUUUGUGGGGUUUAGACUGUUUUAGGUCAAUGAAGUGGUUAUGAUAUGUUUGAGAACACAAUUCAAAUCUGAAAUUUUGAUAACACAAUUUUUAGAACUGUGGCAUUACAAAAUACGAGUAGUUGUUUCGAUUGAGGAUUAAAGUAGAGGCAUUGCUAAAAUUUUAAUAUAAAAAGCAAUUUAUAAAUUAUUCGGUUAGUCGUGCGUUGCACGUGAAUGCUAACUAGUCAUGGUAAAGAACUCUGAAGUACUAGAGAGAGACGAGGCUAAGUUCAAACUAGAAACAUAAGCUGCGAGCUCCAUCUUCCAGCUUGUACGUGAUUCAUUUUAAUGCCAAAUUCUGCGGUUCAACAUUAAACUAACGACCAAGCUCAUAGUACCAAUUCCGCUGAUUUGUCGACUGAACACUGAAGUACAG